UACGUAGGGGGCAAGCGUUGUCCGGAAUUAUUGGGCGUAAAGGGCGCGUAGGCGGCUGUACAAGUCAAAGGUGAAAUCCCUCGGCUCAACUGAGGAACUGCCUUUGAAACUGUACGCUUGAGGCCGGGAGGGGGUAGCGGAAUUCCCAGUGUAGCGGUGAAAUGCGUAGAUAUCUGGAGGAACACCGGUGGCGAAGGCGGCAUCCUGGACCAACACUGACACUGAGGAGCGAAAGCCAGGGGAGCAAACGGG
rnacentral:rRNA from 1 species